GACGAACGCUGGCGGCGUGCUUAACACAUGCAAGUCGAACGAAGUGGCGAACGGGUGAGUAACGGGAAAUCAACCUGAACUUAAGAGGGGGACAACAGUUGGAAACGAAUGCUAAUACCGAAAACGGAAGGAGGGGGUUGCGUUGGAUGAGCUAGGUGGAGGGGUAACGGCCAACCAAGGCGAUGAACCGUAGCCGGUCUUAGAGGAUGAACGGCCACAUUGGGACUGAGACACGGCCCAGACUCCUACGGGAGGCAGCAGUGGGGAAUCUUCCGCAAUGGACGAAAGUCUGACGGAGCAACGCCGCGUGAGUGAUGACGGCCUUCGGGUUGUAAAGCUCUGUUAAUCGGGACGCGGUACCGGAAUAGAAAGCCACGGCUAACUACGUGCCAGCAGCCGCGGUAAUUC
rnacentral:rRNA from 1 species